rnacentral:rRNA from 1 species
GAUGAACGCUGGCGGCGUGCCUAAUACAUGCAAGUCGAGCGAACAGACGAGGAGCUUGCUCCUCUGACGUUAGCGGCAGACGGGUGAGUAACACGUGGAUAACCUACCUAUAAGACUGGGAUAACUUCGGGAAACCGGAGCUAAUACCGGAUAAUAUAUUGAACCGCAUGGUUCAAUAGUGAAAGACGGUUUUGCUGUCACUUAUAGAUGGAUCCGCGCCGCAUUAGCUAGUUGGUAAGGUAACGGCUUACCAAGGCAACGAUGCGUAGCCGACCUGAGAGGGUGAUCGGCCACACUGGAACUGAGACACGGUCCAGACUCCUACGGGAGGCAGCAGUAGGGAAUCUUCCGCAAUGGGCGAAAGCCUGACGGAGCAACGCCGCGUGAGUGAUGAAGGUCUUCGGAUCGUAAAACUCUGUUAUUAGGGAAGAACAAAUGUGUAAGUAACUAUGCACGUCUUGACGGUACCUAAUCAGAAAGCCACGGCCAACUACGUG